rnacentral:rRNA from 1 species
UACAGAGGGUGCGAACGUUGUUCGGAAUUACUGGGCGUAAAGCGUGCGCAGGCGGUUUUGUAAGACCGAGGUGAAAUCCCCGGGCUUAACCUGGGAACUGCAUUGGUGACUGCAAGGCUUGAGUGUGUCAGAGGGAGGUGGAAUUCCGCGUGUAGCAGUGAAAUGCGUAGAUAUGCGGAGGAACACCGAUGGCGAAGGCAGCCUCCUGGGAUAACACUGACGCUCAUGCACGAAAGCGUGGGGAGCAAACAGG